GUUUUAAUAAUUUAACAAAAAUAUUGGCCUUGUAAACCAAAAAUAAGAAGUCACCUUUUAAAACA
rnacentral:tRNA from 2 species